rnacentral:rRNA from 1 species
UACGAAGGGGGCGAGCGUUGUUCGGAAUUACUGGGCGUAAAGGGCGCGCAGGCGGCCUUAGAAGUCAGAUGUGAAAGCCCCGGGCUCAACCUGGGAAUGGCAUUUGAUACUCUGAGGCUGGAGUACGGGAGGGGAGAGUGGAAUUCCCAGUGUAGAGGUGAAAUUCGUAGAUAUUGGGAAGAACACCGGUGGCGAAGGCGGCUCUCUGGACCGUAACUGACGCUGAGGCGCGAAAGCGUGGGGAGCAAACAGG